GGAAUGCCCGGUAUCCCAAAGCUCCGGCGCCUUAGGAUGGAUCUGCGGCCGAUUAGGUCGUUGUUGGGGUAACGGCCCAACAAGCCGAUAAUCGGUACGGGUUGUGGGAGCAAGAGCCCGGAGUUGGAUUCUGAGACACGAAUCCAGGCCCUACGGGGCGCAGCAGGCGCGAAAACUUUACAAUGCGGGCAACCGUGAUAAGGGAACCUCGAGUGCCUGUACAUGCAGGCUGUCUGGGUGUCUAAAACACACCCAAAGAAAGGGCCGGGCAAGACCGGUGCCAGCCGCCGCGGUAAUACCGGCGGCUCGAGUGGUGGCCACUUUUAUUGGGCUUAAAGCGUUCGUAGCUGGGUUGUUAAGUCUCUUGGGAAAUCUGGCAGCUUAACUGUCAGGCGUCUAAGAGAUACUGGCAAUCUAGGAACCGGGAGAGGUGAGGGGUACUUCGGGGGUAGGAGUGAAAUCCUGUAAUCCUCGAGGGACCACCUGUGGCGAAGGCGCCUCACCAGAACGGCUUCGACAGUGAGGGACGAAAGCUGGGGGAGCAAACCGGAUUAGAUACCCGGGUAGUCCCAGCCGUAAACGAUGCGCGUUAGGUGUGUCGAUGACCACGAGUCAUCGAGGUGCCGAAGGGAAACCGUGAAACGCGCCGCCUGGGAAGUACGGUCGCAAGGCUGAAACUUAAAGGAAUUGGCGGGGGAGCACCACAACAGGUGGAGCCUGCGGUUUAAUUGGACUCAACGCCGGGAAGCUCACCGGAUAGGACAGCAGAAUGAUUGCCGGGCUGAAGACUCUGCAUGACUA
rnacentral:rRNA from 1 species